CCUACGGGAGGCUGCAGUGGGGAAUAUUGGGCAAUGGACGCAAGUCUGACCCAGCAACGCCGCGUGAAGGAAGAAGGCUUUCGGGUUGUAAACUUCUUUUAAGGAGGAAGCGCAGAAGACGGUACCCCUUGAAUAAGCCACGGCUAACUACGUGCCAGCAGCCGCGGGCAUACGUAGGGGGCAAGCGUUGUCCGGAUUUACUGGGUGUAAAGGGCGUGCAGCCGGAGAGACAAGUCAGAUGUGAAAUCCACGGGCUCAACCCGUGAACUGCAGUUGAAACUGGGUCCCUUGAGUGUCGGAGAGGUAAUCGGAAUGCGUGGGGGAGCGGUGAAAUGCGUAGAUAUAAGGAAGAACACCAGUGGCGAAGGCGGAUUACUGGACGAUAACUGACGGUGAGGCGCGAAAGCGUGGGGAGCAAACAGGAUUAGAUACCCGUGUAGUC
rnacentral:rRNA from 1 species